AGGAAGUAAAAGUCGUAACAAGGUCUCCGUUGGUGAACCAGCGGAGGGAUCAUUACCGAGUUAUCAACUCCCAAACCCCUGUGAACAUACCUGAACGUUGCUUCGGCGGGACCGCCCCGGCGCCCUCACCCGGCCCGGAACCAGGCGCCCGCCGGAGGACCCAAACUCUUGUUUAAUUUAGUGGCAUAUUCUGAGUCUCACAAACAAAAAAUGAAUCAAAACUUUCAACAACGGAUCUCUUGGCUCUGGCAUCGAUGAAGAACGCAGCGAAAUGCGAUAAGUAAUGUGAAUUGCAGAAUUCAGUGAAUCAUCGAAUCUUUGAACGCACAUUGCGCCCGCCAGUAUUCUGGCGGGCAUGCCUGUUCGAGCGUCAUUUCAACCCUCAAGCCCUCCCUUCGGGGAACGGGCUUGGUGUUGGGGACCGGCCCCCCGCGGCCGCCCCCGAAAUGCAGUGGCGACCUCGCCGCAGCCUCCCCUGCGUAGUAG
rnacentral:misc_RNA from 1 species